GACGAACGCUGACGGUGUGCUUUAGACAUGCAAGUCGAACGAGAAAGCCCUUCGGGUUAGUAAAGUGGCGAACGGGUGAGUAACACGUGGGCAAUCUGCCCCUCGCGAGGGGGACGAACCGGAGGAAACUCCGGCUAAUACCCCGUAAGUUCAAAGGGAGGCAUCUCUCUUCGAAGAAAGGUAGCUUCGGCCAUCCGGCGAGGGAUGAGCCCCGCGGUGCAUUAGCUAGGUUGGGUGGGGUAACCGGCCUACCAAGGCGACGAUGCAUAGCUGGUCUGAGAGGAUGAUCAGCCACACUGGGACUGAGACACGG
rnacentral:rRNA from 1 species